GGAGGGUGCGAGCGUUAAUCGGAAUUACUGGGCGUAAAGGGUGCGUAGGUUGUUAGUUAAGUUAUCUGUGAAAGCCCCGGGCUUAACCUGGGAUGGUCAGAUGAAACUGAUUGACUAGAGUAUGUUAGAGGGUAGUGGAAUUUCCGGUGUAGCGGUGAAAUGCGUAGAUAUCGGAAGGAACACCAGUGGCGAAGGCGACUACCUGGAAUAAUACUGACACUGAGGCACGAAAGCGUGGGUAGCAAACAGGAUUAGAUACCCUGGUAGUCCACGCCCUAAACGAUGUCAACUAGCCCGUUGGUCAUAUAAAUAUGAUAAGUGGCGCAGCUAACGCGAUAAGUUGACCGCCUGGGGAUACGGUCGCAAGAUUA
rnacentral:rRNA from 1 species